UACGAAGGGGGCUAGCGUUGCUCGGAAUUACUGGGCGUAAAGGGCGCGUAGGCGGGUCGUUUAGUUAGAGGUGAAAGCCCAGGGCUCAACCCUGGAAUUGCCUUUAAUACUGGCGGCCUUGAGUAUGGCAGAGGUGUGUGGAACUCCGAGUGUAGAGGUGAAAUUCGUAGAUAUUCGGAAGAACACCAGUGGCGAAGGCGACACACUGGGCCAUUACUGACGCCGAUGCGCGACAGCGUGGGGAGCAAACAGG
rnacentral:rRNA from 1 species